GACGUAGGGGACGAGCGUUGUCCGGAUUCAUUGGGCGUAAAGCGCGCGCAGGCGGUUUCUUAAGUCUGAUGUGAAAGCCCACGGCUCAACCGUGGAGGGUCAUUGGAAACUGGGGAACUUGAGUGCAGAAGAGAAAAGCGGAAUUCCACGUGUAGCGGUGAAAUGCGUAGAGAUGUGGAGGAACACCAGUGGCGAAGGCGGCUUUUUGGUCUGUAACUGACGCUGAGGCGCGAAAGCGUGGGGAGCAAACAGG
rnacentral:rRNA from 1 species